AAAGGGGAAGCCGAAAACCUUAUAGAGUAGGCA
rfam:Ornithobacterium rhinotracheale DSM 15997, complete genome.